GAUGAACGCUGGCGGCGUGCUUAACACAUGCAAGUCGAACGGAGUUUGUACGGAAGGAGUCUUCGGAUAACGGAAGUAUAAACUUAGUGGCGGACGGGUGAGUAACGCGUGGGUAACCUGCCUUAUACAAGGGGAUAACAGAGGGAAACUUCUGCUAAUACCGUAUAAAAGUAUUUCACGCAUGUGAGAUAUUUGAAAGAUUUAUCAGUAUGAGAUGGACCCGCGUCUGAUUAGGUAGUUGGUGAGGUAGAGGCUCACCAAGCCGACGAUCGGUAGCCGAUCUGAGAGGAUGACCGGCCACAUUGGGACUGAGACACGGCCCAAACUCCUACGGGAGGCAGCAGUGGGGAAUAUUGGACAAUGGGGGCAACCCUGAUCCAGCGACGCCGCGUGAGUGAAGAAGUAUUUCGGUAUGUAAAGCUCUAUCGAUAACGGAAGAAGAUGACAAGCCGUAAGGAAGAGCCCCGUAU
rnacentral:rRNA from 1 species